CCCAACUAUCCCUAUUAAUCAUUACGGUGAUCCUAGAAACCAACGAAAUAGAAUCAGUCCGUCCUAUUUCAUUAUUCCAUGCUAAUGUAUUCAGACGUUAGCCUGCUUUAAACACUCUAAUUUUUUCAAAGUAACAGUCCUGAUUUCCAAUCACACCAAAUUAAUGACAUGAAAGUUCCUCAGAAGGUAGAGAUUUAUCUCACCAGUACAGACAAUUAAGCCUGACCAAUGGGUAAACCCCGAAGUUCAACUACGAGCUUUUUAACUGCAACAACUUUAAUAUACGCUAUUGGCGGCUGCUGGCACCAGACUUGCCCUCCAA
rnacentral:misc_RNA from 1 species